GUCCCUCCUCCCGCUGCGGCCUUCGGGCUCACCGAGCGCCGGGGGGCUGACCGGGGAGGAAAGAAUGGGAGUGACAACUCAGCUGCAAUGAAGAAUGGCCUGUGGAGAGAGAAAAGGAGCAAUUAACAGCGAAAGAAGGUCAUAUGGAAAGAAGGUGCUAGAUUCAGGACAUUUUUAGGAGGAAAUGAUCAGAGCCUCCCCUGAACUAUCGUCCAUCCAAAGUUGGACAAUAAUAGGAAGAAGGGCUAGAAGUGAAAAAGAAGAGAAAAGUACAAUGUUUGUUAAAAGACUGAUGUGGGUAUUUG